AAAAGAACCAGGUGCUCCGCAGGGUGCAGCUUUAUACGACCGCAGAGGUCAAACCCUGAACAGUUGGGUCAAGUAUGGACAAAACAUUCAAGCGUGAUACAGCUCUGAAUUUGGAUUGUGAUCAAAUUUUUGACAUUACAUGUUUUUUUUACACAAAACAAAUGUCAAGAUUUUACAAAUCAAUUAAAGAUUUCUUCUUCAAACUUAUUUAAAUCUAAAAUUAAAUAGUUGACACAGCAUAGGUUUCUGACACAGAAUGAAUGUGGUCUAAUGAACUUAAAAUUUUUUUUUGCCUUUGAGCAAUUCACUAUGCUGUUUGAAUAUUAAUCCUCUAAAAAAAAUGUUUGAAGAAAUUUUCUUUUUAUUUAUGAAAUCUGAAAUGAGAAAAAUUUAAACCCCCCCCCCCCCCAUUUUUUUUUUUCACAUCCCCGUUUCCCUUUUUCCAAAACUGAUAUCAAUUCAAAUUUCUAAUGGAGUUUGCAACAAUAACUACUCUUUUAAAUACAUCAUAAAAUAUUAAAA
rnacentral:lncRNA from 1 species